UACAGAGGUCUCAAGCGUUGUUCGGAUUCAUUGGGCGUAAAGGGUGCGUAGGCGGCGCGGUAAGUCGGGUGUGAAAUUUCGGAGCUUAACUCCGAAACUGCAUUUGAUACUGCGGUGCUUGAGGACUGGAGAGGAGACUGGAAUUUACGGUGUAGCAGUGAAAUGCGUAGAGAUCAUGAGGAAGACCAGUGGCGAAGGCGGGUCUCUGGACAGUUCCUGACACUGAGACACGAAGGCCAGGGGAGCAAACGGG
rnacentral:rRNA from 1 species